UACGUAGGUGGCAAAUGUUGUUCGGAAUCACUGGGCGUAAAGGGAGCGUAGGCGGGUUUUUAAGUCAGGUGUUUAAUCCCGGGGCCCAACCCCGGACAGGCACUUGAAACUGGGAAUCUUGAAUAGUGGAGAGGUCAGUGGAAUUGGGGGUGUAGCGGUGGAAUGCGUAGAGAUCCCCAAGAACACCCGUUGCGAAGGCGGCUGACUGGACACAUAUUGACGCUGAGGCUCGAAAGCAUGGGGAGCAAACAGG
rnacentral:rRNA from 1 species